rnacentral:lncRNA from 1 species
ACAAAGUUUGAGAAAUUACAGAUUAAAUCAGCCUGAAAUUUUCAUUUUUUGCUUAAUUUUUUUGGAAGGUUCAAAAGCUAAGUGAUGGAAUGGAUUGUACCUGGAGCAGGAGCUGGAGCACCUGUAGCAGCUGCAAAGGAAAUCAUGAAGGAAAGUGUGAACUUCUGAUCACUUUAGGAAAACAUAGAUGAAAUAGCAUUUCCUAAAUCUGAUGUAACUUUUUACCUUUGCAUUGGAGAGGGACACCGGGCAUGUUGCAAGCGCGAGGGAGAGAGAUGGCCAAGGUUCUGUUGAUGGGAAUCUGGAAAGGUAGAGCUCCAGUGAUGGCAAGGCAAAGGCAGUCUGUGCUGGUGGAAGUGAGGUUCUUAAGGGAACUGCAGCAGUCUGCAGGUGGGGUGGUGCCAUUGUUAGUGAGGAAACUCAUGCAAGGGCUGAGU